rnacentral:rRNA from 1 species
UACGGGGGGGGGUAAGCGUUGUUCGGAAUUACUGGGCGUAAAGGGCUCGUAGGCGGCCAACUAAGUCAUACGUGAAAUCCCUCAGCUUAACUGGGGAACUGCGUGUGAUACUGGAUGGCUUGGAUUUGGGAGAGGGAUGCGGAAUUCCAGGUGUAGCGGUGAAAUGCGUAGAUAUCUGGAGGAACACCGGUGGCGAAGGCGGCAUCCUGGACCAAUAUUGACGCUGAGGUGCGAAAGCGUGGGGAGCAAACAGG